rnacentral:sRNA from 1 species
GCCGGGUGCAGUGGCUUACACCUGUAAUCCCAGCACUUUGGGAGGCCGAGGCAGGCGGAUCACCUGAGGUCGGGAGUUCAAGACCAGCCUGACCAACACGGUGAAACCCUGUCUCUA